GGGGAAUUAGCUCAAAUGGUAGAGCGCUAAAUUAGCAUGCGAGAGGUAGCGGAUCAAUGCCCGCAUUCUCCA